AAGAGCUAGCGUAAUAAUUAGAGAUCUCCGCCCCCUUUUGACGUUUGGGCGCUGUAGGACGCCCGUGCUGAGUGUCCUUUACAUGUAAACAACAAAACCUGGCUAAUGGCUGACUGAGGAGAUAUUUACCUAAUUAAUGCUUAAAUACCUCGACCGCGUUUGUCAUAUAUAGCUGAGACGAUUCAAAAGAUUUUCACAGUUUACAGUUGCGUAGUCGAGAGCCAAACACUUGCCUUCAACGAUUCCCGCCUGACAAUGAAGGGAUUACUCUUUGCUGUACUUGUCAUCGUACUGGUCACACACCAAACAACUGCGUUUACAGCAGGCAUAGGAAACUUUGGCAAACGGGAAUUGAGACAGACUCGUGAGGCUUUGCGCGUUGUGUGCGGCUACGUCAGAGAAGCGCAGGCCCAAGAAGUUCGCGAUGGCUACACUGAGCAUGCGCGCUACAACAAUAUACGGGAAAUCUGCCAGCUUUGACGUAAUCUCGCCUCUACUUCUCUUCACACAGGAACCUCCGAAACACCGCUGGAAGUGAUGGACUUUGUGAAAGAAAAAACUGGAUAGAUUCUAUUUUAUAGGGUUGUCGUCUCUGUCGCAUCCGUUUGUAUAUAAAAUACACCAGGACUUGUUAACUGUUGUUCAUGAGAAGGUAAUUUCCCACUCAGAACGAAGCCCUAAGUACCAGAUGUGUUCAAAGAAGGCAGUUUCCGAAAUGUUGUAAUAAAUCGUUUUUCAAUUCGCUAUCGAAGAUUGAUUGUUUUGAUGUGUUUAAGUAAAUGCAACGAUGCCGUUGGCUACGAAA